AAGUCGUAACAAGGUCUCCGUUGGUGAACCAGCGGAGGGAUCAUUAUAGAGUUAUACAACGCUCAAAACCCUUUGUAAACCCUUUACCUUAGUUGCUUCGGCGGCGCCCUCCAGGGGGAUGCCCGCCGGCAGUAUACCGAAUCUCUGUUUUCGAACCCGACGUAACGUCUGAGUGUUCUAAGCGAACUGUUAAAACUUUCAGCAACGGAUCUCUUGGCUCCA
rnacentral:misc_RNA from 1 species